rnacentral:lncRNA from 1 species
GCGACGGGGCCCCUGGCGACCCCUUCCCCGAGGACAGCGCCGGACUCCGAGCCCUCCUCUCGGAGCCCCGGCCGCGGGCCCUGCGCCACCCCCUGCCCCGUCCUUGACCCGGCUCUCGCCUCCGCUUCUGCCCCUUGAAACCUUGGCGAUCCUAUUUCGUGGACUCCUAGAUCGGCCCUGCUACUUGCAAAGGACCCCUUUGCUGAUGCAACUAAGGGUGACGACUUACUCCCGGCAGGGACUGAGGAUUACAUUCAUAUAAGAAUCCAGCAACGGAACGGCAGAAAGACACUGACUACUGUUCAGGGCAUUGCAGAUGAUUAUGACAAAAAGAAACUUGUGAAAGCUUUCAAAAAGAAAUUUGCCUGUAAUGGUACUGUGAUUGAACAUCCUGAAUACGGAGAGGUUAUUCAGCUUCAAGGUGACCAAAGAAAAAACAUCUGCCAGUUUCUCUUGGAGGUUGGCAUUGUAAAGGAGGAACAGCUUAAGGUUCAUGGAUUCUAAAAUGAACCUAAAUACGUGGAGAAUUUCUUGAAUAGUUUUGUUCUCUAAACCCGGUUUGGCUGCCUUGUGAAAUGAUUCCCUGCAGUAAACGGACUUUUCAUUUAUUUAAUCAUUCAAACUUCCAUUCACAUCUGCAUGAUUACAGAAAACAUGGGGUAUGUAGACUAGUAACACAUAAGAAAAUUGCAGUAAGAUGGUAACAAAACCUCAUAUUGUCUUUACAUGUUUCCAAUGGAAAAUGUUUUGAGUGUUUAUUGUUCAGUUUAUUACGUUUCACUUGAUUAAAUUUUUUUGUUGUUGUAUUAAACCAUGUACGUUGCAGCUUAAC